UGUGGAUGGGGGAACAUCUCCCUCGAGAUCUCCAGAAUCCUAAAAAUAAAAAAAUAAUAAAGCUGCCAAAAUUUAGCAGUAAACAAAAUUUAUGUCUUUCAGAGUGGAUAGUCGAAAGCUCAUCGUCCUGUGACAGUUGUUGAUAUCCUGACCCUCCAGAAUGAAAAGAUAAAUGGGAUGCAAUGCUCAAAACUUUUUGUGAAAUUCUAUAAAAUUGUUAAUGAAGAAACAGUCAACAUAUGAAA